AUUGAACGCUGGCGGCAGGCCUAACACAUGCAAGUCGAACGGUAACAGGAAACAGCUUGCUGUUUCGCUGACGAGUGGCGGACGGGUGAGUAAUGUCUGGGAAACUGCCUGAUGGAGGGGGAUAACUACUGGAAACGGUAGCUAAUACCGCAUAACGUCGCAAGACCAAAGAGGGGGACCCUCGGGCCUCUUGCCAUCGGAUGUGCCCAGAUGGGAUUAGCUUGUUGGCGGGGGUAACGGCUCACCAAGGCGACGAUCCCUAGCUGGUCUGAGAGGAUGACCAGCCACACUGGAACUGAGACACGGUCCAGACUCCUACGGGAGGCAGCAGUGGGGAAUAUUGCACAAUGGGCGCAAGCCUGAUGCAGCCAUGCCGCGUGUAUGAAGAAGGCCUUCGGGUUGUAAAGUACUUUCAGCGGGGAGGAAGGGAGUAAAGUUAAUACCUUUGCUCAUUGACGUUACCCGCAGAAGAAGCACCGGCUAACUCCGUG
rnacentral:rRNA from 1 species